rnacentral:rRNA from 1 species
UCUCCUGGAAACGGGUGGUAAUGCCGGAUGCUCCGCCCCCUCGCAUGGGGGGUCGGGAAGGCUUUUGCGGAAUGGGAUGGGGUCGCGUCCUAUCAGCUUGUUGGCGGGGCGACGGCCCACCAAGGCUUCGACGGGUAGCCGGCCUGAGAGGGCGACCGGCCACAUUGGGACUGAGAUACGGCCCAGACUCCUACGGGAGGCAGCAGUGGGGAAUAUUGCACAAUGGGGGGAACCCUGAUGCAGCGACGCCGCGUGCGGGAUGGAGGCCUUCGGGUCGUGAACCGCUUUUGAUUGGGAGCAAGCGUGAGUGAGUGUACCUUUCGAAUAAGCACCGGCUAACUACGUGCCAGCAGCCGCGGUAAUACGUAGGGUGCAAGCGUUGUCCGGAAUCAUUGGGCGUAAAGGGCUCGUAGGCGGUUCGUCGCGUCCGGUGUGAAAGCCCAUCGCUUAACGGUGGGUCUGCGCCGGGUACGGGCGGGCUUGAGUGCGGCAGGGGAGGCUGGAAUUCCCGGUGUAACGGUGGAAUGUGUAGAUAUCGGGAAGAACACCA